CUCAGCCGAUGAGUUCAAAACAGGACGAAACACGGGUCCUUCAU
rnacentral:hammerhead_ribozyme from 1 species